UCACUGCAUAGCGAACAGGCCACCUGCUCAAAGACAGUAAGGUAAACAUAGUGCACCAAAACAACUUAAUGUAUGACAUUCCUUUUAUCAUGGAAACUCUUGUCAUACAAAAUUGCAAUUUAAUCCAUUUUACCUUACAAAUGCAAAGCAUUCAAAACAGUAAAGUUACAAAUGUUUAACUUUAGCACCCACUGCAAAGGAAAAGUUAUAGCUACUUUCAUGAAGAAUACAGACUUAAUAAUGGGUUGAAUUUAAACAUGCAGGUUGAAGCAUCCAUCAAUUUUUACCAAUCUUAUUUUAAGUAAAUGAGACAUAAGUUGUUGAACCCUGAAACUUUCAUCACGGAAAAUCAUGAAGAAACUUUCCAAUAAUCUACCAUCACAGUAUACAGGUUCCAUGAAAGAUAAUCAGUAAACCAUAAUAUAGUUACCUUUGUAACUCAAAGUAUGGUAUUGUGAUGUGUGGGAAAGCAAGGAAGUGGAGUCAAGGGACUAGUUUAGUAUAGUACCAAAAUAAGGUGAAGAAUCUCUUCUUUUAAGGUGUGAAAUAAUGAGAAUCUUGUAAUCUUCUGCUCUCUAGUCUUCCCUCUUUCUUCUGUUUAUCCCUCCUAUUUCCUCUAAUUCAUUGCUACCCAAACAAAUUCAGGUUGAAUUCAACCUGCAAAGGGUUAUUUGCUAGAUAUGGUGAUUGGGAAUGAGUUCCCAAAGGAAAGGAA
rnacentral:misc_RNA from 1 species